GUAAACUGCGCAUGCAAAUUUUGAAGCCAAAAUUUGACUCCCAUGAAGCCAAAUUUGACUCCCAGACACGCACUUCCACGCGUGUUUCUACUGCGCGAUUUACUCGCGAGACAAUGCAGGGGGCGCUCGAAGCAUGCCGUUUUGAACGUUUUCAUGGCAGGAUGCAAAUCGAAAGGGAAACGGGCCUUUUCAAUUUAAAACGGGUCUUUUAAAGCCUGUGUACGACCUUGUAGAAUUUAGCUUCAAAUUUCCGCUUGAACGUAGCGUUCCAGUUAUUUUUAGUUCAAUGUUUAAUUAGAGUAUCGCAUUUUCGCAAAAUGGCACGCAUGAUUGUUAUGCCAAAGGACGCAAAACCAGAAGAAGUUCGAGAAUUAUACGACGAUUUUGCAACCACUUAUGAUGAGG
rnacentral:lncRNA from 1 species